ACUGCUCCUAGAGGUACUGAAGGUGUGACGGUUGUGUCACAUGUUCAUCAGUAAAUGACAACAAGUAGAGAGGCUAUGUUUAUGUUCAGUGAUCAGACCUGAGAAAAUCAAAAUGAUAAGUAGAUUAACACU